rnacentral:rRNA from 1 species
CGGGUGCGUAACACGUGAGCGACCUUCCGUCUUCUGGGGGAUAGCCGGCCCAACGGCCGGGUAAUACCGCAUACGCUCUGGUGGGGGCAUCCCUGCCAGAGGAAACUUCCGGGGGAGGACGAGGGGCUCGCGGCCUAUCAGCUAGUUGGUGCGGUCACGGCGCACCAAGGCGACGACGGGUAGCUGGUCUGAGAGGAUGGCCAGCCACAUUGGGACUGAGAGACGGCCCAG